rnacentral:lncRNA from 1 species
UAUUCUGGGAGUAUCAACCAGCAAGGUUGAACUGAGAGUGUACUUUCUGUCCAUUGUGUGUCGUCAGUAGGUGCUUACUUUGUGUUAAUGCUUCCAGCUUCAUCCAACUCAGAAAUAUACUAGUACAAAUAGUUUUGUGGAAUUCCCAAACUGGGCCAGCUUACAACAAGCAAAAUAGAAACCAGGCUACAAUCAAAAGAAGCUAAACCAUUGUACAGGAUGAGAAACUAGACAUCAAUAUUCAGGAAGCAGCCAACGCCCUCUUUCACUUCGUCGGUCUCCCAGGCCAGUAGUCACACUCACGAAACUAACAACACUCUUGUGCAUGUUACAGAAAAAAGAAAAAGGACAAGAGGCGCUAGCUGCAACACAACGGCAACUAGUUGUACAAGCUGUACCAAAAGUCUACAAUAAUGUAACCAGUUUCAUAUAGCACAUGAAUAAAGGCAUUUCUCAUCCAUUAUUUAAUCGCGAAGUGAUGUCUGCUCCCAUGGGUUGAGCUGCAAAGUAUCAAACAAGUUCUAGUCAAAUGUUUGCAAAUUCCAGUUUCGUGCAUAAAUACAACAAGUCUAUGGUACAGAGAGUAUCGUGGAUUUUCCAAGAUAAAAAACAUAUAUAUUCCAUAGGAAAUGCACAACAUAAACAUUCAGCAAGUCGAUUUGAGAAGGUAAGCUAAUUCUAAGAAUAAAGAAUUAGCAAGUCCAUGAUCCGAGAUUUGUAAUUAUGUCUAUUGUGCAGUUCAUUUCUUUCUAUCACUUACAGGAUUGAGAAUCUGUAGAUAGCUCUGGUUGAUGGAACAGAGUUGCACUCAUCAGUUGUGUUAUAAAAUGCGACACCAUAUAAAACAUUUGUGGUAAGAGUACAGUGAAUAUGUAGCAGUGGAGUUUAUUAGCUCCAGUUUUGUAGGAAUAAUUAACAAAUAUCCUCUAAAUUGGCACACGGUUUCUUUUUGCAGGACCUUGUGCUUGCCAAUACUCUUCCAGGGGAGUUCCUCUGUUCUAGCAAGACAGCAGGUUAUAGCUCUGUAAGUACUCAAUUAUAAGCAAAAUAGUGGAACUGCAUUGGUGGUGCGCAUUGUUACAAAUAUUUGUCUAUGCAAUAUAUAAUGAUAACCUUGUCCAUUUACUUAGUAUACUUUAUCCAUUAUUAUCCUUGUGUACAUGAGCAUGAAUGCCAAAGUUUUGUCAAGUAACAAGAACUCAUGAUUUUAGGAAACAGACUAUUCAUAGCAAUGCUAAACAACAUCUGAAAAAUUCUUACAUGCAAAGCUAUUUAUGUUCCACAUGGAAUUUCAGUAACCAACUUGUAAUAUAGAUUGCUUCCCAUUUUCUCUGAAGAACAGGCAACAACAAAUAUAAAUGUCGUUGUUGAUACGCUGCCACAGUUUCACCAUUGCAAAAACAAAAACCCUGAAGGUGGCCUGGAGCAGAUGCGUACCAUACACAUUGGAUCUGAAAGGUACUUAAGUUAGGGGACAUUUCCUAUCUGUGCACAUAUAUAUGUCAACUGUGCCGAUUGUUCUUCUGCAUAUCUGUGGGAAGCAACAAUCUGAGAGACACUGCUUGUUAUCUUGGUCAUGUUCAUGUAUAGUAGCACAAGGAAAAUGAUCUCUUAAUUCAACAGUGUCACUCUUCAAUAGCAAAUUGAUCUGACUACAUGGGCGUGGACUUACUAUUAUUACCCUCCAUUAAUUUGUACAAUUGCUAGAUGCUUCAUCCACAUCACACUAAAAUUACUUGUUCUAAGUUGCUGAUAUUUUACUUCGAAUCGGAUAAAAUUAUUUCAAACUCUUCUCUGGUCAUAAAUUACGGACAUUUUUCUGUGAGUAAUUUCUCGAUAUUUAGCCUAAGCAAAAUAUAGCAAGUUGUUUCAGUGAUUUCUAAAAAAUGUAGUCUAAGAAAAAUACAGAGAAAUAUCACCACAGUUAAUCUCAGCUAGGAUUAACUACAUCUAACACAAUCAGCAUGAAGGGGAUGGCGGAUUAGAACCAAAAUACACAACAAAAACAAAAGGUUUUAACAUCCAAAGUGAUACCUGAAGGCUGGAGUUGUCUUCUCCAGCGUCAGUGGAUGGCGGAUCUAGCCGUCGGCUGGUGGCAAAGGCAGGCGUUGGCCGAUGGCGGAGCUAGCCGUCGGGGUGUGGUGACGGGAUGGCGCCGAGGUGGAGAAUGGUGGCGCGGGGAUGGGGCGGUCAGUCCGCUGUACGUAGGAACAGGUCGAGGUCGCAACGGAGCAGACGGUGAGGUUGCGGCGCAGUAGUCGGCGAGCUUCGCUGCCGGAGCCUGGCCCUCUGUUCGUGUUCGUUCAAGCGAGGCAGCAUAGGUUGGAGAAACGUUACUCUAUUCUGUACCUACAUGGGGUUCUUUUUGCAAAAUCUGAAGGGUGGGGCGUUGGGAUUUCAUCCUAUCCCUACAUUCUGC